CCUACGGGAGGCAGCAGUGGGGAAUUUUGGACAAUGGGCGAAAGCCUGAUCCAGCAAUGCCGCGUGAGUGAAGAAGGCCUUCGGGUUGUAAAGCUCUUUUGUCAGGGAAGAAACGGUGUUUUCUAAUACAGAAUGCUAAUGACGGUACCUGAAGAAUAAGCACCGGCUAACUACGUGCCAGCAGCCGCGGUAAUACGUAGGGUGCAAGCGUUAGUCGGAAUUACUGGGCGUAAAGCGUGCGCAGGCGGUUUUGUAAGUCUGACGUGAAAUCCCCGGGCUCAACCUGGGAAUUGCGUUGGAGACUGCAAGGCUAGAGUUUGGCAGAGGGGGGUAGAAUUCCACGUGUAGCAGUGAAAUGCGUAGAUAUGUGGAGGAACACCGAUGGCGAAGGCAGCCCCCUGGGUCAAGACUGACGCUCAUGCACGAAAGCGUGGGGAGCAAACAGGAUUAGAUACCCUGGUAGUCCACGCCCUAAACGAUGUCUACUAGUUGUCGGGUCUUAAUUGACUUGGUAACGCAGCUAACGCGUGAAGUAGACCGCCUGGGGAGUACGGUCGCAAGNUUAAAACNCAAAUGAAUUGACCGGNNGAGAGNGCGAGACGACACGAGGAGAGG
rnacentral:rRNA from 1 species